UCAGUUUUUAUAUCUGUGUCGUCACUUCAAAUUCAAGUUUCCUUAAACCACAUCUUUGCCUCUUUUCGGAAACCGUCUUCAACUUCCGCCAUAUUGUUAAUAGGUCACUUCUUUCAAAGGUUACAAGGAAAACCCAAACACUUUUUAUAACUUCGGUUAAGCAAAAUGGAGCACUUGAAGACCAAAAUUCACAAUGGAUUGUGUGAAGUUCUGCAUAUUUCGAUGGAUAUGUGCAGUCGACUCAACAACGGAUAUUUGCAGUACACCUUGGAGAAUUUUUGCAAGGAUAGCACUUUAAUCGAGCAACUUUCUCAGUGACAAAAUCACUCAUUGAAACUCAGCCAUGCAAUAUAGGUGUUUGAAGAUGGAUGUUGGACAAGUGAUGGGAAAUUUGGAAGGAUAAUAUUAAUUUACUUGCAUUAGCAACUUAUCCUCCAAUUGAGUUCAAAGUACAAUCAUUCUGCUAUACUCAUUCUUGAUUAAAAAAAAAAUUAUGUGUGUUUUAGACAUACAAUGAGUGUCGCUUAUUUACAUAAAUAAUAUUUAGAGCAAAAAGACUACAAAAUAUAAAACGUGUCAAUGAAUAUAA